CGUCCCGCACUACUAUAUGCAUAGUGCCAGCAAGAAUUUACCUUGCACAAUGAACAGAAGCAGAACGCAGUUUUAUUUCCGGCCGUUUCAGCUUUCUUCCGUCGUCCUAGGCGUCUGCGCUGCCACGGCUUGGCGAUGGAGUCAGGCGGCGUCCCCUGCAGAUUUGGUCCGGCAUCUAUGGAGGCAGCUAUGAUGACGAUGUUAGGACGGCUUCCCUCUCCCCGAUCAAGCGCUUCGCCUCACUGCUGUAUGCAGACGUCCCACAUCGCAGACACCAAUCGGCCAUUGUAACUGAGGUGUUCGGAUCUUUCUUCUCCGCCGACGGUAACAUGGGCUUGCGUCGUCAUAUUGUUGAUACAUCCAGUUGUUUUGUUUGUUUCCAAAUGUCCUCCUAAGAAUAUAUACUCUGCAGAAACAUGUAGUACUUCAACUAAUUUGUGCCUUUUGUCUCCUUCACAACUGCUAAUCAGCGUAAGACCCAGUGAUGCUGCUUUAUUUUCAUGCUGUACGUGCUGUUGCUUCGCCCUUAUCAGUCCUUAUCAGUCAAAUGCUAAGCGAUAAGCGACAACACAUUGCAGUCCCUGCUACCAACUAAUGGAACAAGGUACAAGAUAUUGUCAGUUUGGUGUUAUUAUUAUUACUACCAACGUAUUAUUAUUUGUAAACGUCAACUCUUUGAGGUUAUUGUUACUUUUUGAGGUGCAUCGACUUCAGGACUACACAUGAUACAAGAUAUUGUCAGUUUAGUGCCUACAAAUAAUUUAUCCAUAUUUUAUCUGCAUUCUCACACAAGUGCUAUAAUGUCUUACCAUAAGCAGCUAAGGUUGUUUUUUGCUGUUGCUACUUUGCUUCGCCGCCAACCACACAGCUGACAGCCUGACAACUCCGACUGAAAUAGAGGAUUCAUGGCUGGUAGAGAAUUUUGUUGUUCCUUCUCAAAGCAUCCGUUAAUUCCUAUCUGGUCCUUUUCCCACCAAGCACCGCAAUAAAUCCAUAACAUUUCCACCAUCUUGAGGAAAAUUCUCAAAGGCCAUGGACUCACAAAUGCUGAGGCAAAUCCCCGCGACGACUUCAAAGACAUAGUGCUGACUGACAAAAGAGCAUCCUGGAUGCCGAUGUCGAGACGUCCAAGAGAAAGAAUACCUCACAGGGGUGCAUGAUGAAAGCCUCGUUUUCAUCACAUGAGAGCCAACUGUGAGGCUGCGUCAUGCCACAAUAGAAAGAACUUUAGAAUUGUUUUGCUUGUGGUCAAAGGAGGGGCAAAUAAAAAUGAAACCGCUUUCGAUCAUCAUAUUUCUUUUGAAACAGAAGAGUUGUAUGUGUUCAGCCCUUUGCCCGUAACAGAACAAAAUUUUCA